rnacentral:lncRNA from 1 species
UUUCAACCUUGACCAGAGGUUUUCAUAAUGAAUGCAGCAUCCCUGGGGAGUGAUCUGAAGCUGGCGAGGCAAUGAGAACACCCUGGCAGGGCAGCUGAGCUGGGUGGAUCCUUGUUCUGUCACCAAGCCUUUAAGUCAUAUGCUGACAUGUUACAGUCCUGCCUGGGACCCUGCCCACAAAUACUUAAGAUACACGACUUUGGGAAUCACCCAACUGAUGGAAAGAACCAGGAAAGGGGUCAGGAUCUGCACCUUGGCAAACUUUGAAGAACACCCAAUUUGAUGAAUGAAAACUCCUCACUUGUGCUCUGGUGGUGUUUUAGGACAAUGGGCCCCUCCUGGGUGUAGGGACAGAUCAGAAGAUUCUGGAAAAGGCAGAUCACCAAAGAACUCAAGAUGUACUGAUAUUUUGCCAGUUUCCUUCAUCAACAACUUGUCUUCUUUACCAACUAAGGGCAAACAAAGAGAACAAACUAAAAAAAAAAAAAAAAGAAAAGAAAAGAAUUAAAUAAUUAAACAAAGAACUUAAAUAAGAAGAAAGGUUGUACCUGCCUACAAGAUUAUCAACACCAUGUGAGAACAUCCACUUUGCUGAACUCUUUCUCACAUAUCACCUUUAGAGAUGUUACAUGGU